rnacentral:tRNA from 1 species
GGAGGGGAUGGCAGAGCGGACGAUUGCGACGGUCUUGAAACCGUUGAGGUGCAAGCCUCCCGGGGUUCGAAUCCCCCUCCCUCCGCCA